GACGAACGCUGGCGGCGUGCUUAACACAUGCAAGUCGAACGGAAAGGCCCUGCUUUUGUGGGGUGCUCGAUUGGCGAACGGGUGAGUAACACGUGAGUAACCUGCCCUUGACUUUGGGAUAACUUCAGGAAACUGGGGCUAAUACCGGAUAGGAGCUCCUGCUGCAUGGUGGGGGUUGGAAAGUUUCGGCGGUUGGGGAUGGACUCGCGGCUUAUCAGCUUGUUGGUGGGGUAGUGGCUUACCAAGCCUUUGACGGGUAGCCGGCCUGAGAGGGUGACCGGGCACAUUGGGACUGAGAUACGGCCCAGACUCCUACGGGAGGCAGCAGUGGGGAAUAUUGCACAAUGGGCGGAAGCCUGAUGCAGCAACGCCGCGUGCGGGAUGACGGCCUUCGGGUUGUAAACCGCUUUCGCCUGUGACGAAGCGUGAGUGACGGUAAUGGGUAAAGAAGCACCGGCUAACUACGUG
rnacentral:rRNA from 1 species